ACAAACAAAGAUGUUGUGUCCGCCAAGAACUAAAAAAUAAAUAUUAAAAAAAAAAUUCUCUCUCUCUCUCUCCCACUCUCUCUUUUAAAAAAAAGAGAGAGAGAGAGAGAGAGAAUCUUUUUAAAUAUUUAUUUUUUAGUUUUUGGCGGACACAACAUCUUUGUUUGUAUGUGGUGCUGAGGAUCAAACCCGGGCCACACCCAU
rnacentral:sRNA from 1 species